GACGAACGCUGGCGGCGUGGCUAAUACAUGCAAGUUGAGCGCUGAAGGUUGGUACUUGUACCAACUGGAUGAGCAGCGAACGGGUGAGUAACGCGUGGGGAAUCUGCCUUUGAGCGGGGGACAACAUUUGGAAACGAAUGCUAAUACCGCAUAAAAACUUUAAACACAAGUUUUAAGUUUGAAAGAUGCAAUUGCAUCACUCAAAGAUGAUCCCGCGUUGUAUUAGCUAGUUGGUGAGGUAAAGGCUCACCAAGGCGAUGAUACAUAGCCGACCUGAGAGGGUGAUCGGCCACAUUGGGACUGAGACACGGCCCAAACUCCUACGGGAGGCAGCAGUAGGGAAUCUUCGGCAAUGGACGAAAGUCUGACCGAGCAACGCCGCGUGAGUGAAGAAGGUUUUCGGAUCGUAAAACUCUGUUGGUAGAGAAGAACGUUGGUGAGAGUGGAAAGCUCAUCAAGUGACGGUAACUACCCAGAAAGGGACGGCUAACUACGUG
rnacentral:rRNA from 1 species